rnacentral:rRNA from 1 species
AACGAACGCUGGCGGCAUGCCUAACACAUGCAAGUCGAACGAGAUCUUCGGAUCUAGUGGCGCACGGGUGCGUAACGCGUGGGAAUCUGCCCUUGGGUUCGGGAUAACAGUUGGAAACGACUGCUAAUACCGGAUGAUGACUUCGGUCCAAAGAUUUAUCGCCCAAGGAUGAGCCCGCGUAAGAUUAGCUUGUUGGUGAGGUAAAGGCUCACCAAGGCGACGAUCUUUAGCUGGUCUGAGAGGAUGAUCAGCCACACUGGGACUGAGACACGGCCCAGACUCCUACGGGAGGCAGCAGUGGGGAAUAUUGGACAAUGGGCGAAAGCCUGAUCCAGCAAUGCCGCGUGAGUGAUGAAGGCCUUAGGGUUGUAAAGCUCUUUUACCCGGGAUGAUAAUGACAGUACCGGGAGAAUAAGCCCCGGCUAACUCCGUGCCAGCAGCCGCAGUAAGAC